GUUUUUUCGUUCUCGUAUUUCUGAUUUCGGCCAAAGCACACGCGUUUUAAAUCAAAUCGAAUUUUGCAAAGAAGUGCUAAGUCCACGUGUGUAUAUAUAUAUUCACCACCUCGGGCUUAAUAACCGCCCAACAAGACAAACAGACUAAUAAGUGAAGCACCACAAAGCUAAAUUCAAACGCCGAAAGUGGCUGGCGUAAUUUAGCUGGCACCGAUCGCAACAUCCAACUUAUAGUUGAAAAACUAAUUAGGAGUGCGCAGCGCUAUUUGAUCAAAUCGCCUGGUGCUCGUUUUGGCCCACUCUGGCUGCCAACACGUGGAGCGGGACUACUCGAGCCGAGCCACAUACAGUUUACCAGUGCAAAUUUAAGUUUCGAGCCAAGCUUUCCAACCGUUGUAAGACGUAAGGAAAACUUAAGUUCCUAGAUUGAUACACGUGUUGUUCGCCAUAUUCGACUGCACUGGAAACAGAAUUAAAGUAUUCAUGUUGGCAAGGGAAAAAUACUAAAUAUAUACCAAUCAGCUGUUGAACGGACGAUGUUAUUAUAUGUUAUUCAGUAUCAGUGGCGUUCUGGUAUUCUUUUGUUUUCAUUUAAAUUCGACUGAAGGAAAAGAAACCAAAUAUAUACCAAUCACCAGGUCACAUCGGAAGAUUUUGCCACUUUUAAUAACAGAUCUUCCACCUCACAAAAUUUUGUGAGAUGCUUAUCUAGGGACGUGUCAACUGUGUGAGAAAUUCGCGACCAGAAUUUCUAUCUGUGCGUUCUCGGAGAACGGAAGGUAAACUGACAGAGCUUUUUAGAUUCAGCGGCUACAACGAAUAAGAUAAACAACGACGAAUCUUGAGUCGGAGGAAGGGGUGCAUUUGAUUAUUCAGACUCAGGCUAAUAAAGUCAAAAGAAAUGGCAGUUCGGCAACUUACUGGUGUCGCGUGGCCAGAACAACGGCCACGAUCUUUAUUCUCGGGACAAAGUAUCUGGACCGGGUGAGACGCACCACUAUCUGAUUACCGCCAUAUAAUAAAAUGAGAUGCGUACAUUUUACCAAAAGCCCCGAGAGUGAACAUUCGUAUGGUAGGAUAAGAGGAAGUCGUUUAUCAUACCACAAACUGUCGGAGGCUGUUACGCGGCCGCGUGCCCUGAUUAGCUCUUUCUGGACUACUUUUGGUUCAAAAUCUGUUCGUUUUUGUUUAAGUCACAAUAAAACUAUGAAACCUGGUCCACUUCUGGAACGAGGUGUCGACAAUCAAAAAAUACACAUAGGAAUACAUAGAAAUGGGAUUACGGAUCGGCCAGGUUCCUGUGCGGAAUGCAACCCAAAAAUAAGGAUUAGGAUGGGUGAAAAAGGCGUUUGUAUUUCACCCGUGGAAAGGCUAUGGGCAAGGGAAAAAUACUAAAUAUAUACCAAUCAGCUGUUGAACGGACGAUGUUAUUAUAUGUUAUUCAGUAUCA